UAGUCCACACUGUAAACGAUGAUUACUAGGUGUGGGGGGUCUGACCCCUUCCGUGCCGGAGUUAACACAAUAAGUAAUCCACCUGGGGAGUACGGCCGCAAGGUUGAAACUCAAAGGAAUUGACGGGGGCCCGCACAAGCAGUGGAGUAUGUGGUUUAAUUCGAAGCAACGCGAAGAACCUUACCAGGUCUUGACAUCCCUUGCAUAGCCUAGAGAUAGGUGAAGUCCUUCGGGACAAGGAGACAGGUGGUGCAUGGUUGUCGUCAGCUCGUGUCGUGAGAUGUUGGGUUAAGUCCCGCAACGAGCGCAACCCUUAUGUUUAGUUGCUACGCAAGAGCACUCUAGACAGACUGCCGUGGAUAACACGGAGGAAGGUGGGGAUGACGUCAAAUCAUCAUGCCCUUUAUGACCUGGGGCUACACACGUACUACAAUGGGUAAUUAACAAAGAGCAGC
rnacentral:rRNA from 1 species